UGCUCCAUGAUUCAGCGGCGGACGGGUGAGUAAUGCCUAGGAAUCUGCCUGGUAGUGGGGGAUAACGUUUCGAAAGGAACGCUAAUACCGCAUACGUCCUACGGGAGAAAGUGGGGGAUCUUCGGACCUCACGCUACCAGAUGAGCCUAGGUCGGAUUAGCUAGUUGGUGGGGUAAUGGCCCACCAAGGCGACGAUCCGUAACUGGUCUGAGAGGAUGAUCAGUCACACUGGAACUGAGACACGGUCCAGACUCCUACGGGAGGCAGCAGUGGGGAAUAUUGGACAAUGGGCGAAAGCCUGAUCCAGCCAUGCCGCGUGUGUGAAGAAGGUCUUCGGAUUGUAAAGCACUUUAAGUUGGGAGGAAGGGCAGUAAGUUAAUACCUUGCUGUUUUGACGUUACCAACAGAAUAAGCACCGGCUAACUUCGUGCCAGCAGCCGCGGUAAUACGAAGGGUGCAAGCGUUAAUCGGAAUUACUGGGCGUAAAGCGCGCGUAGGUGGUUCAGCAAGUUGGAUGUGAAAGCCCCGGGCUCAACCUGGGAAUUGCAUCCAAAACUACUGAGCUAGAGUACGGUAGAGGGUGGUGGAAUUUCCUGUGUAGCGGUGAAAUGCGUAG
rnacentral:rRNA from 1 species